rnacentral:rRNA from 1 species
AGCGGCGGACGGGUGAGUAAUGCUUAGGAAUCUGCCUAUUAGUGGGGGACAACAUUCCGAAAGGGAUGCUAAUACCGCAUACGUCCUACGGGAGAAAGCAGGGGAUCUUCGGACCUUGCGCUAAUAGAUGAGCCUAAGUCGGAUUAGCUAGUUGGUGGGGUAAAGGCCUACCAAGGCGACGAUCUGUAGCGGGUCUGAGAGGAUGAUCCGCCACACUGGGACUGAGACACGGCCCAGACUCCUACGGGAGGCAGCAGUGGGGAAUAUUGGACAAUGGGGGGAACCCUGAUCCAGCCAUGCCGCGUGUGUGAAGAAGGCCUUAUGGUUGUAAAGCACUUUAAGCGAGGAGGAGGCUACUGAGACUAAUACUCUUGGAUAGUGGACGUUACUCGCAGAAUAAGCACCGGCUAACUCUGUGCCAGCAGCCGCGGUAAUACGGAGGGUGCGAGCGUUAAUCGGAUUUACUGGGCGUAAAGCGUGCGUAGGCGGCUUUUUAAGUCGGAUGUGAAAUCCCCGAGCUUAACUUGGGAAUUGCAUUCGAUACUGGGAAGCUAGAGUAUGGGAGAGGAUGGUAGAAUUCCAGGUGUAGCGGUGAAAUGCGUAGAGAUCUGGAGGAAUACCGAUGGCGAAGGCAGCCAUCUGGCCUAAUACUGACGCUGAGGUACGAAAGCAUGGGGAGCAAACAGGAUUAGAUACCCUGGUAGUCCAUGCCGUANACGAUGUCUACUAGC